AUGAACGCUGGCGGCGUGCCUAAUACAUGCAAGUCGAGCGAACAGACGAGGAGCUUGCUCCUCUGACGUUAGCGGCGGACGGGUGGGUAACACGUGGAUAACCUACCUAUAAGACUGGGAUAACUUCGGGAAACCGGAGCUAAUACCGGAUAACAUGUUGAACCGCAUGGUUCAACAGUGAAAGACGGUCUUGCUGUCACUUAUAGAUGGAUCCGCGCCGCAUUAGCUAGUUGGUAAGGUAACGGCUUACCAAGGCAACGAUGCGUAGCCGACCUGGGAGGGUGAUCGGCCACACUGGAACUGAGACACGGUCCAGACUCCUACGGGAGGCAGCAGUAGGGAAUCUUCCGCAAUGGGCGAAAUCCUGACGGAGCAACGCCGCGUGAGUGAAGAAGGUCUUCGGAUCGUAAAACUCUGUUAUUAGGGAAGAACAAAUGUGUAAGUAACUAUGCACGUCUUGACGGUACCUAAUCAGAAAGCCACGGCUAACUACGUG
rnacentral:rRNA from 1 species